UUGAACGCUGGCGGCAUGCUUUACACAUGCAAGUCGAACGGUAACAGGCCGCAAGGUGCUGACGAGUGGCGAACGGGUGAGUAAUGCAUCGGAACGUGCCCAGUCGUGGGGGAUAACUACUCGAAAGAGUAGCUAAUACCGCAUACGAUCUAUGGAUGAAAGCGGGGGACCGUAAGGCCUCGCGCGAUUGGAGCGGCCGAUGUCGGAUUAGGUAGUUGGUGGGGUAAAGGCUCACCAAGCCAACGAUCUGUAGCUGGUCUGAGAGGACGACCAGCCACACUGGGACUGAGACACGGCCCAGACUCCUACGGGAGGCAGCAGUGGGGAAUUUUGGACAAUGGGCGCAAGCCUGAUCCAGCAAUGCCGCGUGCAGGAAGAAGGCCUUCGGGUUGUAAACUGCUUUUGUACGGAACGAAACGGCUCUGGUUAAUACCCGGGGCUAAUGACGGUACCGUAAGAAUAAGCACCGGCUAACUACGUG
rnacentral:rRNA from 1 species